rnacentral:rRNA from 1 species
CCUACGGGCGGCAGCAGUGGGGAAUAUUGGACAAUGGGCGAAAGCCUGAUCCAGCCAUGCCGCGUGUGUGAAGAAGGCCUUCGGGUUGUAAAGCACUUUUAGUGGGGAAGAAAGCCUUGCGACUAAUACCCUCGAGGAAGGACAUCACCCACAGAAGAAGCACCGGCUAACUCCGUGCCAGCAGCCGCGGUAAUACGGAGGGUGCGAGCGUUAAUCGGAAUUACUGGGCGUAAAGCGCGCGUAGGCGGUCUGAUAAGCCGGUUGUGAAAGCCCCGGGCUCAACCUGGGAACGGCAUCCGGAACUGUCAGGCUAGAGUGCAGGAGAGGAAGGUAGAAUUCCCGGUGUAGCGGUGAAAUGCGUAGAGAUGGGGAGGAAUACCAGUGGCGAAGGCAGCCUUCUGGACUAACACUGACGCUGAGGUGCGAAAGCGUGGGUAGCAAACAGGAUUAGAUACCCGUGUAGUC